GACGAACGCUGGCGGCGUGCCUAAUACAUGCAAGUUGAGCGCUGACGGUUGGUACUUGUACGCACUGGAUGGGCAGGGAAGGGGAGAGUAACGCGUGGGGGAUCUGCCUUUGAGCGGGGGACAACAUUUGGGAACGAAUGCUAAUAACGCAUAAAAACUUUCAACACAAGGUUUCCGUUUGAAAGAUGCUAUUUCAUAACUCAAAGAUGAUCCCGCGUUGUAUUAGCUAGGUGGUGAGGUAAGGGCUCAACACGGCGAUGAUACAUAGCCGACCUGAGAGGGGGAGCUGCCACACUGGGACGGGAACACGGCCCGAACUCCUACGAGAGACAGCAGUACGGAAUCUUCGGCGGUGGACGAAAGGCGGACCGUGCAACGCCGCGUGAGUGAAGAAGGUAGUCGGGUCGUGAAACUCUGUAAGUAGUGAGGAACGUUGAGCAGAGUGGAAAGCUCAGCAAAUGACGGUAACGACCCAGAAAGCGACGGCUAACUACGUG
rnacentral:rRNA from 1 species